CUACGGGAUGCAGCAGCAAGGAAUAUUGGGCAAUGGGCGAAAGCCUGACCCAGCGACACCGCGUGGGGGAAGAAGGCCUUCGGGUUGUAAACCCCUUUUAUCAGGGAAGAUAAUGACGGUACCUGAUGAAUAAGCCUCGGCUAACUACGUGCCAGCAGCCGCGGUAAUACGUAGGAGGCAAGCGUUAUCCGGAUUUACUGGGCGUAAAGCGGGUGUAGGCGGCCUGUCAAGUCCGGCGUGAAAUCCCCCGGCCUAACUGGGAGGGUGCGUUGGAUACUGAUGGGCUAGAGUGCAGCAGAGGAAGGUGGAAUUCCCGGUGUAGUGGUGAAAUGCGUAGAUAUCGGGAAGAACACUAGUGGCGAAGGCGGCCUUCUGGGCUGUAACUGACGCUGAGGCCCGAAGGCGUGGGUAGCAAACAGGAUUAGAUACCCCGGUAGUC
rnacentral:rRNA from 1 species